GUAAGUAAACCAUUUUAUUUUCUGUUUAUUCCUGCUAUGUAGAAUAGUUUAUUUUACAAAAACUUUGUUCUUUGCAGGAGAAUAUAAAAUUAUUUUGGUUCAAAUGUUAGCUCCGCCCAUUCACAGGCUCUAGUUGCGCUUCAGCGUCAACGUCCCACCACACAGUUACUAGCUAGGUUGGCACACGUGCGUGUUCGGCUCUCUGGCAGUGGCACUUAACAGACACCAAGUUUGAAUGUUUCUUCUCUAUUAAUCCGGAGAAAGGGACAAAAGUGGAACAAACAAAAACAAAACGGCUCCAUGUGAAUCCAAGAGUCCUUACUUUGAUUCAGGACCUCUCAGACCAUGAAUGGCGAGCUAUUUAAAAAGUUGUUCCUUCAAGUGGCCGCGACAGUGAACACCCAUGUUUCUCUAGAUGUUCUUCUAGAAGCAAUGCAGUUGCAUCUUAAUCAAGCCUUUACCAUGAUUCACAAGCUCUCCAUGAAUGGCGAGGUAUUUAAAAAGUUGUUCCUUCAGGUGACCGUGAACACCCAUGUUUCUCUAGAUGUUCUUCUAGAAGCAAUGCAGUUGCAUCUUAAUCAAGCCUUUACCAUGAUUCACAAGCUCUCCAUGAAUGGCGAGCUAUUUAAAAAGGUAUGUGUGCUAGUGCUACUGUUAUCUUUGAUUAUUGCUGACUUUGCUAAUGAAACUAAUGGAGAUUAUUGUGUUUGUUUCUCUUCUCUAUUCCCCUAGGUGUUCUU